GGGGAUUUAGCUCAGUGAUAGAGCGCUUGCCUAGCAAGCACAAGGCCCUGGGUUCAGUCCCCAGCCCCG
rnacentral:tRNA from 1 species